rnacentral:rRNA from 1 species
GUGUGAGAUGGACCUGCGUCUGAUUAGCCAGUUGGCGGGGUAACGGCCCACCAAAGCGACGAUCAGUAGCCGGCCUGAGAGGGUGGACGGCCACAUUGGGACUGAGACACGGCCCAGACUCCUACGGGAGGCAGCAGUGGGGAAUAUUGCACAAUGGGGGAAACCCUGAUGCAGCGACGCCGCGUGAGCGAAGAAGUAUCUCGGUAUGUAAAGCUCUAUCAGCAGGGAAGAAAAUGACGGUACCUGACUAAGAAGCACCGGCUAAAUACGUGCCAGCAGCCGCGGUAAAACGUAGGUGGCAAGCGUUGUCCGGAAUUACUGGGUGUAAAGGGAGCGCAGGCGGGCUGUCAAGUUGGAAGUGAAAUCUAUGGGCUCAACCCAUAAAUUGCUUUCAAAACUGAUGGUCUUGAGUAGUGCAGAGGUAGGCGGAAUUCCCGGUGUAGCGGUGGAAUGCGUAGAUAUCGGGAGGAACACCAGUGGCGAAGGCGGCCUACUGGGCACCAACUGACGCUGAGGCUCGAAAGCAUGGGUAGCAAACAGGAUUAGAUACCCUGGUAGUCCAUGCCGUAAACGAUGAUUACUAGGUGUUGGAGGAUUGACCCCUUCAG